GGACAAGUGCAUACAGUUGGCGUUUAGCAGAUUCUGCCAACAAUGCGAUAUUUCUGAGUGCCACAAGGCCGGGAUUAAGCGGAUUUGAAGCAAAGCUCACCAAGCAGAGGCCUUUAACAAGACGGAUGGUGCUGAUGAUAGCCAGCUUGAACUCGGCUGUGUACGUGCGUGACAUUGCUUUGUGUCUGGGAGGUCUCUUUCUGAACCGUGUCCAGGUUAAGCAGAAUUACAAAGAGCUCGGUGGGAAUAAAAACCAAAGGCUCUCUGACUGAUAUUUUGAUUAGAAAAUGAUUUCGCUUACAUCCACUGCUUCUGUUCAACUGGAAUGAGUUGCUCCAGAUCUUUUUUAGUGUCAAAUCCCCCCUCCCGUCCUCCCAGCAUCCUCUCUGCUGUGAAGCCCUCAGCCGGCAGCCCGCGCCUCUCCUCUCUCUCUCUCAUUAACCGCAACUGUCAGAUAA